rnacentral:rRNA from 1 species
CGGAUGAAGGGAGCUUGCUCCUGGAUUUAGCGGCGGACGGGUGAGUAAUGCCUAGGAAUCUGCCUGGUAGUGGGGGAUAACGUUCCGAAAGGAACGCUAAUACCGCGUACGUCCUACGGGAGAAAGCAGGGGACCUUCGGGCCUUGCGCUAUCAGAUGAGCCUAGGUCGGAUUAGCUAGUUGGUGAGGUAAUGGCUCACCAAGGCGACGAUCCGUAACUGGUCUGAGAGGAUGAUCAGUCACACUGGAACUGAGACACGGUCCAGACUCCUACGGGAGGCAGCAGUGGGGAAUAUUGGACAAUGGGCGAAAGCCUGAUCCAGCCAUGCCGCGUGUGUGAAGAAGGUCUUCGGAUUGUAAAGCACUUUAAGUUGGGAGGAAGGGCGUUUGGCUAAUAUCCAGGCGUUUUGACGUUACCGACAGAAUAAGCACCGGCUAACUUCGUGCCAGCAGCCGCGGUAAUACGAAGGGUGCAAGCGUUAAUCGGAAUUACUGGGCGUAAAGCGCGCGUAGGUGGUUCGUUAAGUUGGAUGUGAAAGCCCCGGGCUCAACCUGGGAACUGCAUCCAAAACUGGCGAGCUAGAGUACGGUAGAGGGUAGUGGAAUUUCCUUGUGUAGCGGUGAAAUGCG